UACGUAGGGAGCAAGCGUUGGCCGGAAUCAUUGGGCGUAAAGCGCGCGUAGGUGGCCUCAUAAGUCCGCUGUGAAAGUCAAAGGCUCAACCUUUGAAAGCCGGUGGAUACUGUGGGGCUAGAGUACGGAAGAGGCGAGUGGAAUUCCUGGUGUAGCGGUGGAAUGCGCAGAUAUCGGAAGGAACACCAGUGGCGAAAGCGGCUUCCUGGUCCGACACCGACGUUCAGGCACGAAAGCGUGGGGAGCAAACAGG
rnacentral:rRNA from 1 species